rnacentral:rRNA from 1 species
UACAGAGGGGGCAAGCGUUAUUCGGAAUUAUUGGGCGUAAAGGGCGCGUAGGCGGCCUGGCAAGUGGAUGGUGAAAUCCCUCGGCUUAACCGAGGAACUGCCAUCCAGACUGCUUGGCUUGAGACCGGGAGAGGUGAGUGGAAUUCCCAGUGUAGCGGUGAAAUUCGUAGAUAUCAGGAGGAACACCAGUGGCGAAGGCGGCUUCCUGGACACCAACUGACGCUGAGACGCGAAAGCGUGGGGAGCAAACAGG